rnacentral:rRNA from 1 species
UAGGGAAUAUUGCAAAAUGGGCGAAAGCCCGAUGCAGCAACGCCGCGUGGGCGAUGAAGGCCUUCGGGUCGUAAAGCCCUUUUUGAGGGGAUGAGGAAGGACAGUACCCUCAGAAUAAGCCUCGGCUAACUACGUGCCAGCAGCCGCGGUAAAACGUAGGAGGCGAGCGUUAUCCGGAUUUACUGGGCGUAAAGCGCGUGCAGGCGGAUUGGAGAGUUGGAUGUGAAAGCUCCCGGCUUAACUGGGAGAGGUCGUUCAAUACUUCCAGUCUUGAGUGCAGUAGAGGGAAGUGGAAUUCCGGGUGUAGUGGUGAAAUGCGUAGAUAUCCGGAGGAACACCAGAGGCGAAAGCGGCUUCCUGGACUGUAACUGACGCUCAGACGCGAAAGCGUGGGGAGCAAACA